rnacentral:rRNA from 1 species
GACGAACGCUGGCGGCGUGCUUAACACAUGCAAGUCGAGCGGAAAGGCCCCUUCGGGGGUACUCGAGCGGCGAACGGGUGAGUAACACGUGAGUAAUCUGCCCUUCACUUUGGGAUAACCCCCGGAAACGGGUGCUAAUACCGGAUACGACGCACUCGGGCAUCCGAUGUGUGUGGAAACUUUUUGGGUGGGGGAUGUGCUCGCGGCCUAUCAGCUUGUUGGUGGGGUAAUGGCCUACCAAGGCUUUGACGGGUAGCCGGCCUGAGAGGGUGACCGGCCACACUGGGACUGAGACACGGCCCAGACUCCUACGGGAGGCAGCAGUGGGGAAUAUUGGACAAUGGGCGGAAGCCUGAUCCAGCAACGCCGCGUGAGGGAUGACGGCCUUCGGGUUGUAAACCUCUUUCAGCACCGACGAAGCGUGAGUGACGGUAGGUGCAGAAGAAGGACCGGCCAACUACGUGCCAGCAGCCGCAGUAAGAC